rnacentral:tRNA from 1 species
GGGCGUGUGGCGCAGUUGGUAGCGCGUCUGCUUUGCAUGCAGAAGGCCAUCGGUUCAAAUCCGGUCUCGUCCA